AAACCAGCACCUCAAGUGGCCAGGAUGAUUAUUGGGCCUAAAGCAUCCGUAGCCGGCUCUGUAAGUUUUCGGUUAAAUCUGUACGCUUAACGUACAGGCUGCUGGGAAUACUGCAGAGCUAGGGAGUGGGAGAGGUAGACGGUACUCGGGAGGAAGUGGUAAAAUGCUUUGAUCUCUCGAUGACCACCUGUGGCGAAGGCGGUCUACCAGAACACGUCCGACGGUGAGGGAUGAAAGCUGGGGGAGCAAACCGGAUUAGAAACCCCGGUAGUCC
rnacentral:rRNA from 1 species